rnacentral:rRNA from 1 species
UAUCAUGGAGAGUUUGAUCCUGGCUCAGGACGAACGCUGGCGGCGUGCUUAACACAUGCAAGUCGAACGAGAGGACAUGAAAAGCUUGCUUUUUAUGGAAUCGAGUGGCAAACGGGU